rnacentral:rRNA from 1 species
AUGCUGAAAUGCAAGCAUGCUAUCACUCUGAUGUCUGCCACUGAUCGGCUGUCUGCUCUUGAUGGAGACUUUCUUUCACCUGAUGAUGCUACAGAGUAUCACAGUCUCAUUGGUGGUCUGCAAUACCUUACUAUUACCAGGCCGGAUAUCUCUUAUGCAGUCAACCGUGUGUGUCAGUACCUUCAUGCAUCCAGGACAUCUCAUUGGUCAGCUGUGAAGCGUAUUUUGCGUUAUAUCUAUCUUACUGCCUCCUAUGGUUUGCUUCUUCAGCCUGCGCCGUCUUGUGAGCUCUCAGCUUUUUCAGAUGCAGAUUGGCCUGGUAGUCCUGAUGACAGGCCAUCCACGGUGGGUUAUGCAGUAUUCCUGGGUUCUAACUUGAUCGCCUGGAAUGCUCGAAAGCAAGCAACAAUGUCUCGCAGCAGUACUGAAGCUGAGUAUAAAGCGGUUGCUGAUGCGACUGCUGAGAUCAUAUGGGUACAGUAUCUAUUGAGGGAGUUGAGAGUCUCUCCAGCUCGUCCUCCAGUUCUUUGGUGGGACAACAUCGGUGCUACAUAUCUUUCUUCUAAUCCGGUGUUUCAUACUCGGACGAAGCACAUUAAGGUUGACUAUCAUUUUGUUCGGGAACGCGUUGCACAGAAUCUACUCUGUAUCAAGUUCAUCUCGUCAAAGGAUCAACUUGUUGACAUCUUCACAAAGCAUCUUCCAUAA